rnacentral:rRNA from 1 species
GAUGAACGCUGGCGGCGUGCCUAAUACAUGCAAGUCGAGCGAACAGACGAGGAGCUUGCUCCUCUGACGUUAGCGGCGGACGGGUGAGUAACACGUGGAUAACCUACCUAUAAGACUGGGAUAACUUCGGGAAACCGGAGCUAAUACCGGAUAAUAUAUUGAACCGCAUGGUUCAAUAGUGAAAGACGGUUUUGCUGUCACUUAUAGAUGGAUCCGCGCCGCAUUAGCUAGUUGGUAAGGUAACGGCUUACCAAGGCAACGAUGCGUAGCCGACCUGAGAGGGUGAACGGCCACACUGGAACUGAGACACGGUCCAGACUCCGACGGGAGGCAGCAGUAGGGAAUCUUCCGAAAUGGGCGAAAGCCUGACGGAGCAACGCCGCGUGAGUGAUGAAGGUCUUCGGAUCGUAAAACUCUGUUAUUAGGGAAGAACAAAUGUGUAAGUAACUAUGCACGUCUUGACGGUACCGAAUCAGAAAGCCACGGCUGACUACGU